rnacentral:rRNA from 1 species
AUUGAACGCUAGCGGCAGGCCUAACACAUGCAAGUCGAGCGGAUGAAGGGAGCUUGCUCCUGGAUUCAGCGGCGGACGGGUGAGUAAUGCCUAGGAAUCUGCCUGGUAGUGGGGGAUAACGUCCGGAAACGGGCGCUAAUACCGCAUACGGCCUGAGGGAGAAAGUGGGUGAUCUUCGGACCUCACGCUAUCAGAUGAGCCUAGGUCGGAUUAGCUAGUUGGUGGGGUAAAGGCCUACCAAGGCGACGAUCCGUAACUGGUCUGAGAGGAUGAUCAGUCACACUGGAACUGAGACACGGUCCAGACUCCUACGGGAGGCAGCAGUGGGGAAUAUUGGACAAUGGGCGAAAGCCUGAUCCAGCCAUGCCGCGUGUGUGAAGAAGGUCUUCGGAUUGUAAAGCACUUUAAGUUGGGAGGAAGGGCAGUAAGUUAAUACCUUGCUGUUUUGACGUUACCAACAGAAUAAGCACCGGCUAACUUCGUG